rnacentral:rRNA from 1 species
AUUAUACCGUGAAACUGCGAAUGGCUCAUUAAAUCAGUUAUCGUUUAUUUGAUAGUACCUUACUACUUGGAUAACCGUGGUAAUUCUAGAGCUAAUACAUGCUAAAAACCCCAACUUCGGGAGGGGUGUAUUUAUUAGAUAAAAAACCAAUGCCCUUCGGGGCUCUUUGGUGAUUCAUGAUAACUUAACGGAUCGCAUGGCCUUGCGCCGGCGACGGUUCAUUCAAAUUUCUGCCCUAUCAACUUUCGAUGGUAAGGUAUUGGCUUACCAUGGUUUCAACGGGUAACGGGGAAUUAGGGUUCGAUUCCGGAGAGGGAGCCUGAGAAACGGCUACCACAUCCAAGGAAGGCAGCAGGCGCGCAAAUUACCCAAUCCCGACACGGGGAGGUAGUGACAAUAAAUACUGAUACAGGGCUCUUUUGGGUCUUGUAAUCGGAAUGAGUACAAUUUAAACCCCUUAACGAGGAACAAUUGGAGGGCAAGUCUGGUGCCAGCAGCCGCGGUAAUUCCAGCUCCAAUAGCGUAUAUUAAAGUUGUUGCAGUUAAAAAGCUCGUAGUUGAACCUUGGGCCUGGCUGGCCGGUCCGCCUCACCGCGUGUACUGGUCCGGCCGGGCCUUUCCUUCUGGAGAGCCCCAUGCCCUUCACUGGGCGUGCGGGGGAACCAGGACUUUUACUUUGAAAAAAUUAGAGUGUUCAAAGCAGGCCUUUGCUCGAAUACGUUAGCAUGGAAUAAUAGAAUAGGACGUGCGGUCCUAUUUUGUUGGUUUCUAGGACCGCCGUAAUGAUUAAUAGGGAUAGUCGGGGGCAUCAGUAUUCAAUUGUCAGAGGUGAAAUUCUUGGAUUUAUUGAAGACUAACUACUGCGAAAGCAUUUGCCAAGGAUGUUUUCAUUAAUCAGUGAACGAAAGUUAGGGGAUCGAAGACGAUCAGAUACCGUCGUAGUCUUAACCGUAAACUAUGCCGACUAGGGAUCGGGCGAUGUUUCUAUCUUGACUCGCUCGGCACCUUACGAGAAAUCAAAGUUU